rnacentral:lncRNA from 1 species
UUUGCUUUAACUUUAAUGUGAUGGCUUCCCCACUUCCCCAAUUUUUGGAAUGAUAGAAUGGGUAAUGAUAUUUAAUUUUAAAAUAGGAUUUAUUAGGUUUUUAAUAUAAGAAUAUAGAAAAAAAUUUAUAUGGGCUAUAUUCUCACUACCCAGAUAACACUUGUUAUAUUAAAAAGAAACUGUUGCUAGUAUGUGGUUAGAAAGUUUAAUUGAGCAGCAUUAAACUGAACAUUAAAUGAAAACUAAACACAACCAUUAUUUGUGAUUAUCAGUCCAGAAAAAGAUUGCGUGUGUAUGUGUAUCCACAGACAUGAAUAUAUCUGUGUCCAUGGAGGAGUUGUAAACAAGCGUAUUUAAAUACUACAGAGAUCUGGUCCACCUCUUGGUUGCCUGGUUCUGAUUCCAGUUUAUUCCAUGUCAUCUCUAAGACUGAGUAUAUCUCGUUUGUUUUGCUGUAUCUUCAGAGAUGCUAAUGAUUACAAUAAAUAGAUGAUUUGAGUGGCUUUUAAUAGUUAUUAAGUUAUAUAAUUUGUAAAUUAGGAUUUCAAAAUUCUCAGUCACCUUGUUUUUCAAAUCAAUAAAUUACCCCUAAGUGACUAGUUAUUUAAGUUUAGAUACGUUUGCUUAAUUUAGUAACUUUCUGAAGCAUUUUUUAACUCAUUUUUCUGUGUAUUUUUUUCAAGGCCAGUUUGGAAAAGAAGCAGCCUCGUGUCGCGGGAAGCAUUUGUUCCAAAUUCUGUGCUGGUCUGGGACUGCUCUCCAGAGGGACUGCAGGAAGGAGGACUUUAGUCUCAGCCUUCAACGUGCAAGCUACUGAUCUGG